AUUGAACGCUGGCGGCAUGCCUUACACAUGCAAGUCGAACGGCAGCACGGGUGCUUGCACCUGGUGGCGAGUGGCGAACGGGUGAGUAAUACAUCGGAACAUGUCCUGUAGUGGGGGAUAGCCCGGCGAAAGCCGGAUUAAUACCGCAUACGAUCUACGGAUGAAAGCGGGGGACCUUCGGGCCUCGCGCUAUAGGGUUGGCCGAUGGCUGAUUAGCUAGUUGGUGGGGUAAAGGCCUACCAAGGCGACGAUCAGUAGCUGGUCUGAGAGGACGACCAGCGACAUGGGGACGGAGACACGGCCCAGACUCCUACGGGAGGCAGCAGUGGGGAAUUUUGGACAAUGGGCGAAAGCCUGAUCCAGCAAUGCCGCGUGUGUGAAGAAGGCCUUCGGGUUGGAAAGCACUUUUGUCCGGAAAGAAAUCCUUGGCCCUAAGACGGUCGGGGGAUGACGGUACCGGAAGAAUAAGCACCGGCUAACUACGUG
rnacentral:rRNA from 1 species